rnacentral:rRNA from 1 species
CAGCAGCCGCGGGAAUACGUAGGGUGCAAGCGUUAAUCGGAAUUACUGGGCGUAAAGCGUGCGCAGGCGGUUUGUUAAGACAGAUGUGAAAUCCCCGGGCUCAACCUGGGAACUGCAUUUGUGACUGGCAAGCUAGAGUAUGGCAGAGGGGGGUGGAAUUCCGCGUGUAGCAGUGAAAUGCGUAGAUAUGCGGAGGAACACCGAUGGCGAAGGCAGCCCCCUGGGCCAAUACUGACGCUCAUGCACGAAAGCGUGGGGAGCAAACAGGAUUAGAUACCCGCGUAGUCCCUGUCUCUUAUAC